UUAACACCUGCAUUAUUUGACGUUACCUACAGAAGAAGCACCGGCUAACUCCGUGCCAGCAGCCGCGGUAAUACGGAGGGUGCGAGCGUUAAUCGGAAUUACUGGGCGUAAAGCGCAUGCAGGCGGCCUGUUAAGUCAGAUGUGAAAGCCCGGGGCGUUAACCUCGGAAUUGCAUUUGAAACUGGCAGGCUAGAGUCUUGUAGAGGGGGGUAGGAAUUUCAGGUGUAGCGGUGAAAUGCGUAGAGAUCUGAAGGAAUACCAGUGGCGAAGGCGGCCCCCUGGACAAAGACUGACGCUCAGAUGCGAAAGCGUGGGGAGCAAACAGGAUUAGAUACCCUGGUAG
rnacentral:rRNA from 1 species